rnacentral:rRNA from 1 species
AUUGAACGCUGGCGGCUUGCCUUAUACAUGCAAGUCGAACGAUCACAGGUCUUGCUAUGCUGUCUAAUGUCGCACGGGUGCGUAAUACUUCCGAACGUGCCCGCUCGUUGUGGAUCUCGAAGCGCAACCUUUGCUCGUACCUCAUACGAUCUACUUUAUAAAGCCGGGGUUUUCCGGAGUUCGCGCCGACUGUGCUGUCGAUGUCAGAUUAGGUAGUUGGUGGGUUAAUAGCUUACCAAGCCCACGAUUUGUAGCUGGUCUGAGAGGAUGAUCCGCCACACUGGGACUGAGACACGGCCCAGACUCCUACGGGAGGCAGCAGUAGGGAAUUUUGGGCAAUGGGCGAAAGCCUGAUCGAGCAAAGCCGCGUGCAGGAUGAAGGCCUUCGGGUCGUAAACUGCUGUUGUAAGGAAAGAAAAGACGCGUAAUAAAAAAGAGGGGUCAUGACGGUACCGUAAGAGAAAGCACCGGCUAACUACGUG